GACGAACGCUGGCGGCGUGCUUAACACAUGCAAGUCGAACGGUGAACUCCGCUUGCGGGGGGAUCAGUGGCGAACGGGUGAGUAACACGUGGGCAACCUGCCCUCAGCUCUGGGAUAACUCCAAGAAAUUGGGGCUAAUACCGGAUAUGACCGCUGACCGCAUGGUCUGGUGGUGGAAAGAUUUAUCGGCUGGGGAUGGGUCCGCGGCCUAUCAGCUUGUUGGUGGGGUAGUGGCCUACCAAGGCGACGACGGGUAGCCGGCCUGAGAGGGUGACCGGCCACACUGGGACUGAGACACGGCCCAGACUCCUACGGGAGGCAGCAGUGGGGAAUAUUGCGCAAUGGGCGAAAGCCUGACGCAGCGACGCCGCGUGGGGGAUGACGGCCUUCGGGUUGUAAACCUCUUUCAGCAGGGACGAAGCGAAAGUGACGGUACCUGCAGAAGAAGCACCGGCCAACUACGUG
rnacentral:rRNA from 1 species